rnacentral:rRNA from 1 species
CUACGGGCUGCUCCAGUGAGGAAUAUUGCACAAUGGGGGGAACCCUGAUGCAGCAACGCCGCGUGGAGGAUGACGCAUUUCGGUGUGUAAACUCCUUUUAUAUGUCAAGAAAAUGACGGUAGCAUAUGAAUAAGCACCGGCUAACUCCGUGCCAGCAGCCGCGGUAAUACGGAGGGUGCAAGCGUUACUCGGAAUCACUGGGCGUAAAGGACGCGUAGGCGGGUUGGAAAGUCAGGUGUGAAAUCCUACAGCUUAACUGUAGAACUGCACUUGAAACUUCUAAUCUAGAGUAUGGGAGGGGAGAUGGAAUUAGUGGUGUAGGGGUAAAAUCCGUAGAUAUCACUAGGAAUACCUAAGGCGAAGGCGAUCUCCUGGAACAUUACUGACGCUAAGGCGUGAAAGCGUGGGGAGCAAACAGGAUUAGAUACCUUCGUAGUC